rnacentral:rRNA from 1 species
UACGUAGGGAGCAAGCGUUGUCCGGAAUCAUUGGGCGUAAAGCGCGCGUAGGCGGCCCCGUAAGUCCGCUGUGAAAGUCAAAGGCUCAACCUUUGAAAGCCGGUGGAUACUGUGGGGCUAGAGUCCGGAAGAGGCGAGUGGAGUUCCUGGUGUAGCGGUGGAAUGCGCAGAUAUCAGGAGGAACACCAAUAGCGAAGGCAGCUCGCUGGGACGGUACUGACGCUAAGGCGCGAAAGCGUGGGGAGCGAACAGG